rnacentral:lncRNA from 1 species
GGAUGGGAGAAGAAUUCAUUAAAAAUUAGAAUUGUUUCCAACUAACAUUUUCUUACAUAAAAAAAUUCUUUUUUUUACUAUAUAAUAAUUUUUUAACAUUUAGCUAAUUGUUACUAAAGCUUUAAGGAAAAAGCCAAUUAGUGCCUUUAAUAAUUUAUUUUUUCUUGCAUUUAACUAAUUGUUACUAAAGCUUUAAAGAAAAAAAACAAAUUAGUUCCUUCUCUGCAAAAAAAAAUUAUUCUUGUUUUUUUCUUAAUUAAAUUAUAUUAAAUAAAAAAUAAUUGUAUAUUCUAACUUAAAAUGUAGUUAAUAUUUAUCAAGUUAAAACCUUGAUACUUUUUUUAAAGUUAAGAACUUUAAAUUUUAGAAAAUCAAAUGACUACUCUAUGAUAUGAAUAAGGAAGGAAAGUCAUAACUUGUACCUAUUAUAA